AUAUUGUUCGUCCGUCGUUCAGCACGGAACAAGUCAGCAGGAAAGUUUGACAAAAUACAAAAAAGUUGCACUUCAGGAAUUGGUAAUGGAUUAAUUACAAGAAUUAUGUACAUACAACCAGUCUUUACGUGUAUGUACUCACUUAACUCAGCGCAGGGCGUGGCCAUUCGUCAACUUGAAUGGGAGAGGACCACAACUAACCAUCAGACCAAGUGGUUGGAGAAAUUCUGAGAGUUGGGACAAAAAAUAUUGCAAUUGCAACAUCGACAUCCUUCCUUCCUACUCACAACAACAUUGGGAAUUUGUUUUUACUGAAAUGAAAAGUAAAAUCUAGAAGCAGGGAAAAAAGUGCCUCAAGUAAAUAUCAAAGUACCAACGAAUGUAGUCAAACACUGCUAUUACGAUCUAUUAAACAAGCGAACAUGAAGAUGAUUGAUGGAUCUUGAAUGUCAUUGUGUUUCAUAUCGUCGUCAACCCUCCUGUUUAUUUGUGGCCUCCGGUCAUAAACAAUGCAAGGACAAAUCUUCAGACGUAUUUUGAACUGUGCCACAUUCAUGUCAAACUGGCCGAAAAUCGACACCAAUUAAUUAACAAUUAGAAAACGAUAUGUUUGAACUCUGACUUUGCCGUUGGAUGCAGUAGAACACUGCAUAAUUUAAUAAUAGCUUUCUCACAGUGGUAUUGUCCGCUCAUUCAUUUGGAGCUCGUUAGGAAAGCCUUGCAUAUACUUUGCAGUGUGACAGACAAUAUUUAAUGCAUCAGUUCAUUGUUAACUACAUCUCUUAUUUUUAUUAAUUUAAGUGACGAUUCAGUUGGGAGUUAUUUUUUGAAUACAAAAUGGUAAAAUUAUUUAUUUAUGAGGCCCAGCAAUGUGGGGGCAAAUUAUUGCAAAUUGACACGACGUGACCCUCGCUGGAACCAAGUAUAAUGACUCCUCCGAAGCAAUUUACAAGUUGAUAAAUAAAUUUGUAUAUGCGGUGGAUUUGUCGCACUUGAUGCAUAAUAAAUAUGAGAGGGGCAAGAAUGGAGAGGUAAA